rnacentral:tRNA from 1 species
GCCUGGUGGCUCAGUUGGUUGAGCACCCGACUUCAGCUCGGGUCACGAUCUUGUAGUUUGUGGGUUUGAGCCCCAUGUUGGGCU